GAGUUUGAUCAUGGCUCAGGAUGAACGCUGGCGGCGUGCUUAACACAUGCAAGUCGAACGAACGACUAUUAACAGAACCUUUCGGGGCGAAGAUGAUAGAAGUUAGUGGCGGACGGGUGCGUAACGCGUGGGUAAUCUGCCUUUGUCAAAGGAAUAACUAUUCGAAAGAAUAGCUAAAACCGUAUAACAUAUUAAUAGGGCAUCCUAAUAAUAUCAAAACGAUAGUGGACAAAGAUGAGCCCGCGUCUGAUUAGCUAGUUGGUGAGAUAAAAGCCCACCAAGGCAACGAUCAGUAGCCGACCUGAGAGGGUGAACGGCCACAUUGGAACUGAGACACGGUCCAAACUCCUACGGGAGGCAGCAGUGGGGAAUAUUGCACAAUGGGGGGAACCCUGAUGCAGCAACGCCGCGUGAGUGAAGAAGGCAUUCGUGUCGUAAAACUCUGUAGUAGGGGAAGAAAGAA
rnacentral:rRNA from 1 species